UGAGGUAGAGGUCUCUUCUCAUGAACCUCAGCUCUGGGAAGCGGACGACAGCUUUAACUUCCAGGAACACCCUUUGCACCUUGGCCAUCCUGAGCAGAUGGAGCCUUUCCCCAGCUUCUAAGAAAGGGGAAGAGAGCUCCCCUGAAGAGACCUUUUCCCCAAGCAAGGACCAAAAGCAGGUGCAAGCAGGAAGCAUAGGGGAUCCCUAGAAUUAGACUGGCUUCUACUGCUGGUUUCAUACAGACCCGCAGGAUGGUGGUGCUCACAGUUACUGCGCAACUGUCCAGACUGAUGUAUUCUCAGUGUGCAGUGCAUUCUGCUGACUCAUGUAUGAGAUAUGCUUCUCAUGGUGUUGACCAGAUUUCUUGGAGGGUAUGACAGCUGCAAACAGUAUCAACAAUGUCUGGAAAAACUGACAAAUUUAAGAGAAAGGUGAUUAAUCAGUGGGAGUUUCAGGCAGCAACUGAGUGCAGGUAGAGGUCAGUAACUAUAAAAUCCAUCAGUUUGUGAAGGGCAGAGGUACUACAGGAUGACAAAAAGUCAUACAACUAUCUAGACAUGCUGAACAAUCUGGUUUAUGCAUCUAAGGAGUGGAAUAAUCCAAGAUACAGAAAGGAAGGACACACAGCGAACUGGAAAUCUGCCUGCCAGGUGAAGACUGGUGAGAUAUAUCUGGUGUCUUCCUGGAGAGUGAUGAGAGAAUUGAGGGGCGAAAUAGGCACCAACACCAGAGAUGAAGACAUGCAGAGACUUCUAGUGUUCGUACCCUGAGAGGUGGCAAAAGGAAGGUUUUCUGGAGGGAAGUGGAACCUGUGAUUUAUGCCAAUAAAACAUCAUUUUAGAUUCCUUGAA